UAGUAUUUAGUUAUUGGUUAAUAUUUAUAUAAUAUAAAUUGAUUCUAUAGAUAAAUAAAAAGUGGAAUUCUUAUGUUAUUUUAUAGAUGUAGGAUAUUUAUAUAAGAGGCUAAAAAAUUUUAAAAAUAGACUAGGAUUAGAUACCCUAUUAUUUUAAAAUAUAAGUAAUAUACUAGAUUAUUAUAAGUUAGUUACUUUAAAUUUAAAAAAUUUGGCGGUAGUUUAGUCUAUUCAGAGGAACCUGUUUUUAAAUCGAUACACCACGUAAAAUUUUACUUGUUUUGUAUGGUUUGUAUACCAUCAUUGUUAGAUAAUUUUUAAAGAAAA
rnacentral:rRNA from 1 species